rnacentral:miRNA from 10 species
AUAAGAAUUUGACCGCACAGCA